GAUUGCAGGCUGCAACUCGCCUGCAUGAAGUUGGAAUUGCUAGUAAUCGCGAAUCAGAAUGUCGCGGUGAAUACGUUCCCGGGCCUUGUACACACCGCCCGUCACACCAUGAGAGCCGAUAACACCCGAAGCCUGUGAGCUAACCGUAAGGGGGCAGCAGUCGAAGGUGGGGUUGGUGAUUGGGGUGAAGUCGUAACAAGGUACC
rnacentral:rRNA from 1 species